rnacentral:lncRNA from 10 species
GGGGGAGUUUCCCUGCACAAGCUGCCUUCUCCUGUCUGCCACCACGUGAGAUGUGCCUUUCACCUUCCACUAUGAUUGUGAGGCCUCACCAGCCAUGUGGAACUAGUUCAAGAUUUCAACAUUUUAAGAUAAUCUGAAAAAAAUUGGAAUGUGCCCCCAGCUGCGUGAGUAACUAAAACACUGUUUAUCAAAGGAACCAAUAUGGAAGGAAAAACAUUGCUUUGAAGGGAAGAUGGAUGGAUCCCCUAGUAAACUACAGCUUGAGGUGCAAUUUCCUAAAGUUCAAAUGCCUGAAAAAGGAAACGAAAGAAAGAAACUCAACUCUUGAGACAGCUUCAAUGCUAGCUUUGAUCUCAAUUAUAGAGUUAUUUAUGAAAAGUGCAUUUUUACAACUAAA